UACAGAGGGUGCGAGCGUUAAUCGGAAUUACUGGGCGUAAAGCGUGCGUAGACGGCUAUCUAAGUCGGAUGUGAAAGCCCCUGGCUCAACUGGGGAAGUGCACCCGAAACUGAGUGGCUUGAGUGCGAAAGAGGGUCGCGGAUUCCCGGUGUAGAGGUGAAAUUCGUAGAUAUCGGUGAGGAACACCGGUGGGCGAAGGCGGCA
rnacentral:rRNA from 1 species